rnacentral:rRNA from 1 species
CAGUCGCCGCGGUAAUACAGAGGAUGCAAGCGUUAUCCGGAAUGAUUGGGCGUAAAGCGUCUGUAGGUGGCUUUUUCAAGUCCGCCGUCAAAUCCCAGGGCUCAACCCUGGACAGGCGGUGGAAACUACCAAGCUGGAGUACGGUAGGGGCAGAGGGAAUUUCCGGUGGAGUGGUGAAAUGCGUUGAGAUCGGAAAGAACACCAACGGCAAAGGCACUCUGCUGGGCCGACACUGACACUGAGAGACGAAAGCUAGGGGAGCAAAUGGGAUUAGAUACCCCAGUAGUCCCUGUCUCUUAUA